UGGGGAAUAUUGGACAAUGGGGGAAACCCUGAUCCAGCCAUGCCGCGUGAGUGACGAAGGCCUUAGGGUUGUAAAGCUCUUUCGACGGGGAAGAUGAUGACGGUACCCGUAGAAGAAGCCCCGGCUAACUCCGUGCCAGCAGCCGCGGUAAUACGGAGGGGGCUAGCGUUGUUCGGAAUUACUGGGCGUAAAGCGCACGUAGGCGGCUCUGAAAGUCAGAGGUGAAAUCCCCAGGCUCAACCUGGGAAUUGCCUUUGAUACUGCUGAGCUAGAGGCCGGGAGAGGGUAGCGGAAUUCCCAGUGUAGAGGUGAAAUUCGUAGAUAUUGGGAAGAACACCGGUGGCGAAGGCGGCUACCUGGACCGGUACUGACGCUGAGGUGCGAAAGCGUGGGGAGCAAA
rnacentral:rRNA from 1 species